CUCUUUUGUACUCCACUUCCCUCUCCUCUCACUUGUAAUAUUUCCUUUCUUCAUCCGCCAUCUUCAUUAGCAUAAGGAGAUCUGAGGAUUUGACGAAUUUUGCUAAGCCUCUCUUGGGUCAUUGCUUUCUUCCCUUUCAAUCGUAGCUGGCGCCGCAUUCGCAUAGCUCGUCAUCGCCGGUGUGUUUGUAGUUGGUCUGUUCGUUUCAGUUAGAGUUCUCCUCUAUUUCUGCGUCAUUCUCCCUUGCACGAGCUCAGCAUUUCACUAGGUUAAGGUCGUCGGAAAUGGGUGAUGCUGGUCAUGAGCUGAGGCGACACUGAUUCUGGUUUUUCCCUUUGAAUGGUGCGGCAUCUUCCUUUGUUUCUUGCUCAGCUGAAGAUUUCCAUUUUCUCUCCUCUGGUUUGCUGUAGAUUCUGCCUUCUUCGUUGCCCCUGCUGUUAUUGGUGUUUGAGGGUGUGUGGAAGAACAAGACCCGGAUAAGACUUAAAAGAAGAAUACUUCCAAAAAUCUAGAACUUCAACAGAUUGGUUAGCUGACGCUGAUUCCACUAACGACCUCAAAAAGGGCAAAUAGCUACAGUGGGUGGACAUUUUGAUUGAUAUUGUUGCUUUAAUGUAAAUAUAUAAUUUGUAUGUCUUUUUGAUUUGAAAGAAAGAGUAGAUGCUCCACAUAGGUUGUUUAUGAAUCUUAUUUUCGUCUGUAUAUUAGUUGCUGGCUGGAAAGAGCUAUGCUCCUGAUUUAUACUGUUAUUUGUAAACUUUUUUGUUGUAGAAUUUUCGAGAGAUCCUAGUUAUAGGGGACGUUCUGUCGAAAUUUCUACA